AGAUUGAACGCUGGCGGCAUGCCUUACACAUGCAAGUCGAACGGCAGCACGGGAGCAAUCCUGGUGGCGAGUGGCGAACGGGUGAGUAAUACAUCGGAACGUGCCCAAUCGUGGGGGAUAACGCAGCGAAAGCUGUGCUAAUACCGCAUAAGAUCUACGGAUGAAAGCAGGGGAUCGCAAGACCUUGCGCGAAUGGAGCGGCCGAUGGCAGAUUAGGUAGUUGGUGAGGUAAAGGCUCACCAAGCCUUCGAUCUGUAGCUGGUCUGAGAGGACGACCAGCCACACUGGGACUGAGACACGGCCCAGACUCUACGGGAGGCAGCAGUGGGGAAUUUGGACAAUGGGCGAAAAGCCUGAUCCAGCCAUGCCGCGUGCAGGAUGAAGGCCU
rnacentral:rRNA from 1 species